UCCUGUUGCGCCAGGUGGUCCAGGGCCGCUUCCAGCGGCCCGUCGCUGCUUGGGCGCAGCAGCUUGCCGAUCGCCUCGGCGAGCUGGGC
rnacentral:tRNA from 1 species